CAUCGACACUUGUUCCCGCCCCUUAUUCUUUACUAUCCAAUCAGAGACUACGGUGCUUUGUUGUCGUACGUGCGCUGAUAUCGGAACUGAACAAUCGAGAGGGUGCCUUUCUCGUAGAAACCAACACAACAAGAUGGAGGUGGACCAGCUCCUGUCUCUGUCAGGCUCAGCACUGGCCCAGGCUAUCAGCUCUCUGCUGGAGACCCCAGGCCUCUAUGUCUUCUCUGACAUCCUGGAACUGCCCAAUGUCAGAGAGCUGGAGAAUGGCCCUCAUGCACCAGUGUACCAGCUCCUGAACCUCUUUGCCUAUGGAACCUACUGCGACUACAAAGAGAGAGCAGCCUCUCUUCCAGAGCUGACCCCCGCUCAGAGAAACAAACUCCGCCAUCUGUCGAUCAUCAGCUUGGCUUCCAACCUCAAGUGCCUGCCGUACUCGCUCCUUUUGCAGCAGCUGGAACUGAAGAAUGUGCGGGAGCUGGAGGACUUGCUGAUUGAGGCGGUUUACUGUGACAUCAUCCAAGGUAAACUCGACCAGAGGAACCAGCAAGUGGAGGUAGAUUGCAGCGUGGGUCGAGACCUCGGCCCCAACGAGCUCCCAAACAUAAUCAACACGCUGCAGGAGUGGUGUACAGGGUGUGAGGCAGUGUUGUGUGGUAUCGAGGAGCAGGUCUCAAGGGCAAACCAAUACAGAGAGAGCCAGCUGAAGGUCAAAGUCCAAGUGGAAACAGAGGUUUCAAACCUACAGAAAACGCUGAAGGCCAGCGCGGCCUCUCCUUCGUCAGGCCCAGCCCCUGCUGGAGCUGCCUCCAACCAGGAUGCAGACCAGCCUGCUGAGCCACGAGACCCUGCCUCCUCUCAGGAACCUCGACAACCAGGCAAAAAAAGUUCAAAGGUGAAAGGGCUGCGUGGCAGUGGGAAGAUCUGGUCCAAGUCCAACUGAAGACAAAAGAAAGACAGCGUCGCUGAAGGACAGUCUCACUGAUGAAUGGACACAUGGACAUGAUUGCUGCACCGUCUGCUGGUACGUGUCUCGUAACUAGACGGUCAUUAAAACUUCGGAGUGGAACCCUGCCAAUCAGUUACUUUGAUUCAUCAGUAAAAUGCCCAGAGGAGAUGGAAACACUGGCUGUGCAGAAGACUGAUGGAGAAUCUCAAUACACUCGAGUGGCAUUUCUCCUCUCGUGCCCGCCUUGAUUUUAUUGGCAUUUGUUUGAAAAACUGUACACACAGGAAACUCUUGCUUAGCAUCCUGUUAAUCUUUCUGAAGCGAGAGGAAUCCAUAUGAGGUGAAGAGAUAAGGGAAAGCCUCAGACACAAGCAGAUGCCUUAUUCUUCACCCUUUUCAGCUGCUCCUCACUGGUAAAAAUAUGAUUGGCAAAUGCAAGACUUUUUAAUGCCAAACCCAUGCUUCCAAAUCAAUGCAAGGCGGUGGACUAAAUGUUCACUUCAUGGAGAAAAAGAUUAGGAUGCAGAGGUAGCUAUUAAAAUGCACAGUGUAAGCUUUAUCCUUCCCAUAAAGCACUGCAGAGCCCAGCUCCCCGGGGACUUCAUUC